rnacentral:rRNA from 1 species
CACGUAGGGGGCAAGCGUUGUCCGGAUUUAUUGGGCGUAAAGAGCUCGUAGGUGGUUCGGUAAGUCGGGUGUUAAACCCCCAGGCUCAACCUGGGGACGCCACUCGAUACUGCUGUGACUAGAGUCCGGUAGGGGAGCGUGGAAUUCCUGGUGUAGCGGUGAAAUGCGUAGAGAUCGGGAGGAACACCCGUGGCGAAGGCGGCCAACUGGGCCGGACCUGACGCUGAGGCGCGAAGGCGUGGGGAGCGAACGGG